UAUGCGGGUUGGGUGGAAUAGGGAAAGGAUUAUACUAAAAUUAGAGAAGAUUAGCAUGGCCCCUGCACAAGGAUAACAUGCAAAUUCAUGAAGCGUUCCAUAUUUUU